rnacentral:rRNA from 1 species
GAAAGUAAGCAAGGGCAGACGGUGGAUGCCUUGGCUCUCGGAGGCGAUGAAGGACGUGAUAAGCUGCGAUAAGCUUGGGGUAGGUGCAAAUAACCUUUGAUCCCAAGAUUUCCGAAUGGGGCAACCCGGCUGGUAGAAGGCCAGUCAUUCCGUAAGGAAGGCGAACGUGGGGAACUGAAACAUCUAAGUACCCAUAGGAGAAGAAAACAAAAGUGAUUCCGCAAGUAGUGGCGAGCGAACGCGGAACAGCCCAAACCGAUGAUGUUUAGGCAUUGUCGGGGUAGUAGGACCACGUUGUGGCAAGAGAUUAAGGAAGUAGAACGUUUUGGAACAAACGGCCGUAGACGGUGAAAGCCCAGUAUACGACUCUUUAACGAAGCCUAGUGGAAUCCUGAGUAGCGCGGAGCACGAGAAAUUCUGUGUGAAUCAGCGGGGCCCAUCCCGUAAGGCUAAAUACUCCCGAGAGACCGAUAGCGAACCAGUACUGUGAAGGAAAGGUGAAAAGCACUUCGAAUAGAAGAGUGAAAUAGUCCCUGAAACCGUGCGCCUACAAGCGGUCGGAGCAGCUUUUUGUUGUGACGGCGUGCCUUUUGCAUAAUGAACCUACGAGUUACUUUUUCCGGCAAGGUUAAGCGUCUCAAGACGUGCAGCCGAAGCGAAAGCGAGUCUGAACAGGGCGUUAUAGUCGGAAGGAGUAGACGCGAAACCAAGUGAUCUACCCUUGGGCAGGUUGAAGGUUAGGUAACACUAACUGGAGGACCGAACCGAUAAGCGUUGAAAAGCUUCCGGAUGACCUGAGGGUGGGGGUGAAAGGCUAAUCAAACUUGGAGAUAGCUCGUACUCCCCGAAAUGCAUUUAGGUGCAGCCUUGCGGGUUACUGAUGUGAGGUAGAGCGACUGAUAAGAUGCGAGGGCUUCACCGCCUAUCAAGUCUUGACAAACUCCGAAUGCGCAUCAGUUCUACCGCAGGAGUGAGGGCAUGGGUGCUAAGGUCCGUGCCCGAGAGGAGAAGAAUCCGGACCACCUGCUAAGGUCCCGAAAUGACAGCUAAGUUAAACUAACGAAGUCUGACUGCUAAGACAGCUAGGAUGUUGGCUUGGAAGCAGCCAUUCAUUUAAAGAGUGCGUAACAGCUCACUAGUCGAGGAGUCGGGCGUGGAUAAUAAUCGGGUAUCAAGUUGUCUACCGAAGCAGUGGGAUCAUUAAUAUGAUCGGUAGGGGAGCAUUCCAGUCAGCGUCGAAGGCGUACCGUGAGGUAUUCUGGAGCGUCUGGAAAAGCAAAUGUAGGUAUAAGUAACGAUAAAGGGGGCGGGAAACCCCCUCGCCGAAAGACUAAGGUUUCCUGAUCAACGCUAAUCGGAUCAGGGUCAGUCGGGUCCUAAGGCUCAGCCGAACGGCGAUGCCGAUGGCAGAAACGGUUAAUAUUCCGUUACUACCUUCAGGAGUGACGUGGAGACGCAGUAGUGACAGUGCCGCCAUCUGACGGAAUAGAUGGUUGAAGGGUGUAGGAGUCGAUCAUGGCAGGCAAAUCCACCAUGAGAUCCGAACCUGACAGUAUGCCGCGUCCUUCGGGACAAGGCAAUAGUGCGCGUAAGCAUGCUGCCGAGAAAAUCCGCUAAACUUAAUCCUGCAGGUACCCGUACCGCAAACGGACACACGUAGUCGGGAUGAAUAUUCUAAGGCGCUUGAGUGAUUCACGGUUAAGGAACUAGGCAAACUGACCCUGUAACUUCGGGAUAAAGGGUCCCUACCCUUUUAUGGGAGGGCGCAGAGAAUCGGUCCAGGCAACUGUUUAACAAAAACACAGGGCUGUGCCAAAUCGAAAGAUCCAGUAUACAGCCUGACACCUGCCCGGUGCUGGAAGGUUAAGAGGAGAUGUCAUCGAUAAGAGAAGCGUUGAAUUGAAGCCCCAGUAAACGGCGGCCGUAACUAUAACGGUCCUAAGGUAGCGAAAUUCCUUGUCGGGUAAGUUCCGACCUGCACGAAUGGUGUAAUGAUCUGGACGCUGUCUCAACCGUGAGCUCAGUGAAAUUGUAGUAUCGGUGAAGAUGCCGAUUACCCGCGAUGGGACGAAAAGACCCCGUGAACCUUUACUAUAGCUUAUCAUUGAAUCUGGGCACGUGAUGUGUAGGAUAGGUCGGAGGCUUUGAAGCAGGUACGCCAGUAUUUGUGGAGCCGCUGUUGAAAUACGACCCUUUAUUUGUUUGGAUUCUAACCCGUGGAACGGGGACAUUGAUUGGUGGGUAGUUUGACUGGGGUGGUCGCCUCCAAAAGCGUAACGGAGGCUUCUAAAGGUGCCC